CACAGGUAGCCCGAGUGGUGUCCACGAAUAUUGAGCUUAAAGCGUCCGUAGCCGGUUUGGCAAGUUUCCUGUGAAAUCUCUUGGCUCAACCAAGAGGCGUGCAGGGAAUACUACCAGGCUAGGGAGUGGGGGAGGUCAGAGGUACACUAGGGGGAGCGGUAAAAUGCUGUAAUCCUUGGUGGACCACCAGUGGCGAAGGCGUCUGACCAAAACACGUCCGACGGUGAGGGACGAAGGCUAGGGGAGCAAAUCGG
rnacentral:rRNA from 1 species